GCUAAGGGUAGUAGUUUAGUUGCCGUAAACCAUCCUUCCAUUUCUUACAUUUUCUGCCUCGUAUAUGCAAUAACAGUGCAACCUCCCUACAGAACUGGUCUUCUAUAAAUGCCUUGCCAUCAAAACGAAUGCAGUUUCUGUCCCUCCAUAUCAGUGCUACAGCAGUCACUAAGGCAGAAGCAGUAAUUGCUUUGUGCCAUUGUUUGCUUCUAGCU
rnacentral:lncRNA from 1 species